UAAACUAGGAUUAGAUACCCUAUUAUUAAAAAAUUAAAUAUAUAAUACUAAAAUAGUAAAUAAUUUAUUGAAACUUAAAUAAAUUGGCGGUAUUUUAGUUCAUUCAGAGGAAUCUGUUUAUUAAUUGAUAGUCCACGAAUAAAUUUACUUAAUUUAUUAUUUUGUAUAUCGUUGUUAAAAAAAUAUUUUUUAAUAAAAAUAAUAUUUAAAAAUUUUAAAAUAAAAUUAAAUCAGAUCAAGAUGCAGAUUAUAAUUAAGAAUAUAAUGGAUUACAAUAAAUUUAUUUAUUAAUGAAUAUUAAAUUGAAAUAUUUAAUUGAAGGUGGAUUUGAAUGUAAUUUUAUUUAAAUUAAUAAAAUGAUUAAUAAUUAAAAUAUGUACAUA
rnacentral:rRNA from 1 species